UACGGAGGGGGCAAGCGUUGUUCGGAAUUACUGGGCGUAAAGCGCGUGUAGGCGGCUUGGCAAGUCGGGUGUGAAAUCCCGGGGCUCAACCCCGGAACUGCAUUCGAAACUGCCUGUCUGGAGUCCCGGAGAGGGUGGUGGAAUUCCCAGUGUAGAGGUGAAAUUCGUAGAUAUUGGGAGGAACACCAGUGGCGAAGGCGGCCACCUGGACGGUGACUGACGCUGAGACGCGAAAGCGUGGGGAGCAAACAGG
rnacentral:rRNA from 1 species